rnacentral:rRNA from 1 species
CCUACGGGAGACAGCAGUGAGGAAUAUUGGUCAAUGGACGAGAGUCUGAACCAGCCAAGUAGCGUGAAGGAUGACUGCCCUAUGGGUUGUAAACUUCUUUUAUAAAGGAAUAAAACGAGGCACGUGUGCCUUUUUGCAUGUACUUUAUGAAUAAGGAUCGGCUAACCCCGUGCCAGCAGCCGCGGUAAUACGGAGGAUCCGAGCGUUAUCCGGAUUUAUUGGGUUUAAAGGGAGCGUAGAUGGGUUGUUAAGUCAGUUGUGAAAGUUUGCGGCUCAACCGUAAAAUUGCAAUUGAUACUGGCAGUCUUGAGUACAGGUGAGGUAAGCGGAAUGCGUGGUGUAGCGGUGAAAUGCUUAGAUAUCACGAAGAACCCCGAUUGCGAAGGCAGCAUACUAAACUGUGACUGACAUUGAUGCACGAAAGUGUGGGUAUCAAACAGGAUUAGAUACCCUAGUAGUC